rnacentral:sRNA from 1 species
UGGAUCUGCCUCAGUCCUGACACACAGCAGCUCGGGAAAUAGUCUAAAACGCCCAGAUACCACAGAAUCACUUAAUUCUUCCUUGUCCAAUGGAACAAGUGAUGCUGACCUUUUUGAUUCACAUGAUGACAGAGAUGAUGAUGCGGAGGCAGGGUCUGUAGAGGAGCACAAGAGCGUUAUCAUGCAUCUCUUGUCACAGGUUAGACUUGGAAUGGAUCUUACUAAGGUAGUUCUUCCAACGUUUAUUCUUGAAAGAAGAUCUCUUUUAGAAAUGUAUGCAGACUUUUUUGCACAUCCGGACCUGUUUGUGAGCAUUAGUGACCAGAAGGAUCCCAAGGAUCGAAUGGUUCAGGUUGUGAAAUGGUACCUCUCAGCCUUCCAUGCGGGAAGGAAAGGAUCAGUUGCCAAAAAGCCAUACAAUCCCAUUUUGGGCGAGAUUUUUCAGUGUCAUUGGACAUUACCAAAUGAUACUGAAGAGAACACAGAUCUCAUUUUUGUUUUGAGAAGAUCAAUAGAAUGAUUUUGUGAAAAAUAAAUUGAGAAGGGGCAAAUAUAGAAGCAUGGA